UACGUAGGGGGCUAGCGUUGUCCGGAAUCAUUGGGCGUAAAGAGCGUGUAGGCGGUCCGGUAAGUCCGCUGUGAAAGCCCCGGGCUCAACCUGGGAAUUGCAUUCGAGACUGAAUAGCUAGGGUACGGUAGAGGGAAGUGGAAUUUCCGGUGUAGCGGUGAAAUGCGUAGAUAUCGGAAGGAACAUCAGUGGCGAAAGCGACUUCCUGGACCAGUACCGACGUUCAGGCACGAAAGCGUGGGGAGCAAACAGG
rnacentral:rRNA from 1 species